AACGAACGCUGGCGGCAGGCCUAACACAUGCAAGUCGAACGCUCCGCAAGGGGAGCGGCAGACGGGUGAGUAACGCGUGGGAACAUGCCCUUCGGUUCGGAAUAACUCAGGGAAACUUGAGCUAAUACCGGAUACGCCCCGAACCAAAUUUGGGGAAAGAUUCAUCGCCGGAGGAUUGGCCCGCGUCCGAUUAGCUAGUCGGUGAGGUAAUGGCUCACCGAGGCGACGAUCGGUAGCUGGCUGAGAGGAUGAUCAGCCACAUUGGGACUGAGACACGGCCCAAACUCCUACGGGAGGCAGCAGUGGGGAAUAUUGGACAAUGGGCGAAAGCCUGAUCCAGCCAUGCCGCGUGAGUGAUGAAGGCCCUAGGGUUGUAAAGCUCUUUCGUCAGGGACGAUAAUGACGGUACCUGAAGAAGAAGCCCCGGCUAACUUCGUGCCAGCAGCCGCCGUAA
rnacentral:rRNA from 1 species